AUUGAACGCUGGCGGCAGGCUUAACACAUGCAAGUCGAGCGAGCGGCGGACGGGUGAGUAAUGUCUGGGAAACUGCCUGAUGGAGGGGGAUAACUACUGGAAACGGUAGCUAAUACCGCAUACCAUCAGAUGUGCCCAGAUGGGAUUAGCUAGUAGGUGGGGUAAUGGCGCACCUCGGCGACGAUCCCUAGCUGGUCUGAGAGGAUGACCAGCCACACUGGAACUGAGACACGGUCCGGACUCCUACGGUAGGCAGCAGUGGGGAAUAUUGCACAAUGGGGGCAAGCCUGAUGCAGCCAUGCCGCGUGUAUGAAGAAGGCCUUAGGGUUGUAAAGUACUUUCAGCGAGGAGGCGUUACCCACAGAAGAAGCACCGGCUAACUCCGUGCCAGCCGCCGCGGUAAUUC
rnacentral:rRNA from 1 species